AAGACUAUAGUUUCAGGGAUCAUUUCUAUAGCAUGUUACUAGAGAAGUUUCUCUGAUAGUGUAGAAGAGCACCCGAAGCCACGAGGAGGAGCCAGAGCGUCCUCUCCUGAGCGUGAAGCCGGCUCUAGGUGUCGCUUCUGCGGCUGCCUCUUGCCAUUGAUGAUCGUUCUCCCUUUUCUCCGAAAAGGGUAGAGGGAGAGGAUGCAGUCUGAGUGAU